UGAGCUCGAUGAGUAGGGCGGGACACGUGGUAUCCUGUCUGAAUAUGGGGGGACCAUCCUCCAAGGCUAAAUACUCCUGACUGACCGAUAGUGAACCAGUACCGUGAGGGAAAGGCGAAAAGAACCCCGGCGAGGGGAGUGAAAAAGAACCUGAAACCGUGUACGUACAAGCAGUGGGAGCCUCUUUAUGGGGUGACUGCGUACCUUUUGUAUAAUGGGUCAGCGACUUAUAUUCUGUAGCAAGGUUAACCGAAUAGGGGAGCCGAAGGGAAACCGAGUCUUAACUGGGCGUUAAGUUGCAGGGUAUAGACCCGAAACCCGGUGAUCUAGCCAUGGGCAGGUUGAAGGUUGGGUAACACUAACUGGAGGACCGAACCGACUAAUGUUGAAAAAUUAGCGGAUGACUUGUGGCUGGGGGUGAAAGGCCAAUCAAACCGGGAGAUAGCUGGUUCUCCCCGAAAGCUAUUUAGGUAGCGCCUCGUGAAUUCAUCUCCGGGGGUAGAGCACUGUUUCGGCAAGGGGGUCAUCCCGACUUACCAACCCGAUGCAAACUGCGAAUACCGGAGAAUGUUAUCACGGGAGACACACGGCGGGUGCUAACGUCCGUCGUGAAGAGGGAAACAACCCAGACCGCCAGCUAAGGUCCCAAAGUCAUGGUUAAGUGGGAAACGAUGUGGGAAGGCCCAGACAGCCAGGAUGUUGGCUUAGAAGCAGCCAUCAUUUAAAGAAAGCGUAAUAGCUCACUGGUCGAGUCGGCCUGCGCGGAAGAUGUAACGGGGCUAAACCAUGCACCGAAGCUGCGGCAGCGACACUAUGUGUUGUUGGGUAGGGGAGCGUUCUGUAAGCCUGUGAAGGUGGCCUGUGAGGGUUGCUGGAGGUAUCAGAAGUGCGAAUGCUGACAUAAGUAACGAUAAAGCGGGUGAAAAGCCCGCUCGCCGGAAGACCAAGGGUUCCUGUCCAACGUUAAUCGGGGCAGGGUGAGUCGACCCCUAAGGCGAGGCCGAAAGGCGUAGUCGAUGGGAAACAGGUUAAUAUUCCUGUACUUGGUGUUACUGCGAAGGGGGGACGGAGAAGGCUAUGUUGGCCGGGCGACGGUUGUCCCGGUUUAAGCGUGUAGGCUGGUUUUCCAGGCAAAUCCGGAAAACC
rnacentral:rRNA from 1 species